GAUGAACGCUGGCGGCGUGCCUAAUACAUGCAAGUCGAGCGAACGGACGAGAAGCUUGCUUCUCUGAUGUUAGCGGCGGACGGGUGAGUAACACGUGGAUAACCUACCUAUAAGACUGGGAUAACUUCGGGAAACCGGAGCUAAUACCGGAUAAUAUUUUGAACCGCAUGGUUCAAAAGUGAAAGACGGUCUUGCUGUCACUUAUAGAUGGAUCCGCGCUGCAUUAGCUAGUUGGUAAGGUAACGGCUUACCAAGGCAACGAUGCAUAGCCGACCUGAGAGGGUGAUCGGCCACACUGGAACUGAGACACGGUCCAGACUCCUACGGGAGGCAGCAGUAGGGAAUCUUCCGCAAUGGGCGAAAGCCUGACGGAGCAACGCCGCGUGAGUGAUGAAGGUCUUCGGAUCGUAAAACUCUGUUAUUAGGGAAGAACAUAUGUGUAAGUAACUGUGCACAUCUUGACGGUACCUAAUCAGAAAGCCACGGCUAACUACGUGCCAGCAGCCGCGGUAAUACGUAGGUGGCAAGCGUUAUCCGGAAUUAUUGGGCGUAAAGCGCGCGUAGGCGGUUUUUUAAGUCUGAUGUGAAAGCCCACAGCUCAACCGUGGAGGGUCAUUGGAAACUGGAAAACUUGAGUGCAGAAGAGGAAAGUGGAAUUCCAUGUGUAGCGGUGAAAUGCGCAGAGAUAUGGAGGAACACCAGUGGCGAAGGCGACUUUCUGGUCUGUAACUGACGCUGAUGUGCGAAAGCGUGGGGAUCAAACAGGAUUAGAUACCCUGGUAGUCCACGCCGUAAACGAUGAGUGCUAAGUGUUAGGGGGUUUCCGCCCCUUAGUGCUGCAGCUAACGCAUUAAGCACUCCGCCUGGGGAGUACGACCGCAAGGUUGAAACUCAAAGGAAUUGACGGGGACCCGCACAAGCGGUGGAGCAUGUGGUUUAAUUCGAAGCAACGCGAAGAACCUUACCAAAUCUUGACAUCCUUUGACAACUCUAGAGAUAGAGCCUUCCCCUUCGGGGGACAAAGUGACAGGUGGUGCAUGGUUGUCGUCAGCUCGUGUCGUGAGAUGUUGGGUUAAGUCCCGCAACGAGCGCAACCCUUAAGCUUAGUUGCCAUCAUUAAGUUGGGCACUCUAAGUUGACUGCCGGUGACAAACCGGAGGAAGGUGGGGAUGACGUCAAAUCAUCAUGCCCCUUAUGAUUUGGGCUACACACGUGCUACAAUGGACAAUACAAAGGGCAGCGAAACCGCGAGGUCAAGCAAAUCCCAUAAAGUUGUCCUCAGUUCGGAUUGUAGUCUGCAACUCGACUACAUGAAGCUGGAAUCGCUAGUAAUCGUAGAUCAGCAUGCUACGGUGAAUACGUUCCCGGGUCU
rnacentral:rRNA from 1 species